CCAAUAGCGUAUAUUAAAGUUGUUGCAGUUAAAAAGCUCGUAGUUGAACUUCGGGGUCUACCCAUUGGUCAGGCUUAAUUGUCUGCACUGGUGAGAUGGAUCUCUACCUUCUGAGGAACUUUCAUGCCAUUUAUUUGGUGUGAUGGGAAAUCAGGACUGUUACUUUGAAAAAAUUAGAGUGUUUAAAGCAGACUAUCGUCUGAAUACAUUAGCAUGGAAUAAUGAAAUAGGACGGACUGAUUCUAUUUCGUUGGUUUCUAGGAUCACCGUAAUGAUUAAUAGGGAUAGUUGGGGGCAUUAGUAUUCAAUUGUCAGAGGUGAAAUUCUUGGAUUUAUUGAAGACUAACUACUGCGAGAGCAUUUGCCAAGGAUGUUUUCAUUAAUCAAGAACGAAAGUUAGGGGAUCGAAGACGAUCAGAUACCGUCGUAGUCUUAACCAUAAACUAUGCCGACUAGGGAUCGGACGAAGUUAAUUUUAUAAUGACGCGUUCGGCACCUUACG
rnacentral:rRNA from 1 species